GACGAACGCUGGCGGCGUGCUUAACACAUGCAAGUCGAACGGAAAGGCCCUGCUUUUGUGGGGUGCUCGAGUGGCGAACGGGUGAGUAACACGUGAGUAACCUGCCCUUGACUUUGGGAUAACUUCAGGAAACUGGGGCUAAUACCGGAUAGGAGCUCCUGCUGCAUGGUGUUGGUUGGAAAGUUUCGGAGGUUCGGGAUGGACUCGCGGCUUAUCAGCUUGUUGGUGGGGUAGUUGCUUACCAAGCCUUUGACGGGUAGCCGGCCUGAGAGGGUGACCGGCCACAUUGGGACUGAGAUACGGCCCAGAAUCCUACGGGAGGCAGCAGGGGGGAAUAUUGCAGAAUGGGCGGAAGCGUGAUGCAGAAACGCCGCGUGCGGGAUGACGGCCUUCGGGUUGUAAACAGAUUUGGCAUGUGACGAAGCGUGAGUGACGGUAAUGGGUAAAGAAGCACCGGCUAACUACGUG
rnacentral:rRNA from 1 species